rnacentral:tRNA from 1 species
GCCCUGGUAGCUUAAUUUAAAGCCCCAGUCUUGUAAACUGGAGACUGCGGACUCAACCCCGCUCAGGACA